rnacentral:tRNA from 1 species
CAAGAGGUAGUUUAAUUAAAAUAAUGGUUUUGGGGACUAUUGAUAAAUUUUGUUUUCUCUUGA